CUAGGGUGCGAGCGUUAAUCGGAAUUACUGGGCGUAAAGCGUGCGCAGGCGGUUUUGUAAGACAGAUGUGAAAUCCCCGGGCUCAACCUGGGACCUGCAUUUGUGACUGCAAGGCUAGAGUACGGUAGAGGGGGAUGGAAUUCCGCGUGUAGCAGUGAAAUGCGUAGAUAUGCGGAGGAACACCGAUGGCGAAGGCAAUCCCCUGGACCUGUACUGACGCUCAUGCACGAAAGCGUGGGGAGCAAACAGGAUUAGAUACCCUGGUAGUCCACGCCCUAAACGAUGUCAACUGGUUGUUGGGUCUUUACUGACUCAGUAACGAAGCUAACGCGUGAAGUUGACCGCCUGGGGGAGUACGGCCGCAAGGUUG
rnacentral:rRNA from 1 species